UAGCUCAGUGGUAGAGUGUUUGUCUAACAUACACAAAGCCCUAGGUUCAAUCCCUAG
rnacentral:tRNA from 1 species